rnacentral:rRNA from 1 species
UCGGGUUGUAAAGCACUUUUGUCCGGAAAGAAAACUUCGGGGCUAAUACCUCUGGAGGAUGACGGUACCGGAAGAAUAAGCACCGGCUAACUACGUGCCAGCAGCGCGGUAAUCGUAGGGUGCGAGCGCUAAUCGGAAUUACUGGGCGUAAAGCGUGCGCAGGCGGUCUGUUAAGACAGAUGUGAAAUCCCUGGGCUUAACCUGGGAACUGCAUUUGUGACUGGCAGGCUAGAGUAUGGCAGAGGGGGGUAGAAUUCCACGUGUAGCAGUGAAAUGCGUAGAGAUGUGGAGGAAUACCGAUGGCGAAGGCAGCCCCCUGGGCCAAUACUGACGCUCAUGCACGAAAGCGUGGGGAGCAAACAGGAUUAGAUACCCUGGUAGUCCACGCCCUAAACGAUGUCAACUAGUUGUUGGGGAUUCAUUUCCUUAGUAACGUAGCUAACGCGUGUAGUUGACCGCCUGGGGAGUACGGUCGCAAGAUUAAAACUCAAAGGAAUUGACGGGGACCCGCACAAGCGGUGGAUGAUGUGGAUUAAUUCGAUGCAACGCGAAAAACCUUACCUACCCUUGACAUGGUCGGAACCCUGGUG